rnacentral:rRNA from 1 species
UACGUAGGGGGCAAGCGUUGUCCGGAAUCAUUGGGCGUAAAGAGCGUGUAGGCGGCCCGAUAAGUCCGCUGUGAAAGUCCAGGGCUCAACCCUGGAAUGCCGGUGGAAACUGUCGGGCUAGAGUUCGGAAGAGGUGAGUGGAAUUCCUGGUGUAGCGGUGAAAUGCGCAGAUAUCAGGAGGAACACCAAUGGUGAAGGCAGCUCACUGGGACGAUACUGACGCUGAGGAGCGAAAGCGUGGGGAGCGAACAGG